rnacentral:ncRNA from 2 species
GAGUGGAGCCUGCGGCUUAA